CGGAUUUCCAACAGGAACAAACUCAGUGCUUGGCUCCUGAUGAAGUCUGAGAGACACCAGCGCUCUCUCCUGUUCCCGCAGAAGACUGAAAGAGAAGACCCUGAUGACUUGGCCAGGCCUAUUUAUACAUCCAUGGCUGGGACAGGACUGGAGCAGAUAUACAUCAUCUGCUAGACAUUGUUAUGGGUUGCUGGUGGUCAGCAGGUACCAAGAUAGACAAGUAAUUGCCUUCGGAUCGAUAUAUCUGCUUAAUAUCUUUCAUCUACCCAGACUGUCAUACAGCCAGUGGUGGGUCAAAUCUGCUUUCUUCACCUGCCUUUCUCAUCUUUGUUUUGUUUGUGAUCUGCGAAAGUUGUGACUACAGAAAACUUCAUUGCUCUCUUCACCUAGUGGAAAAAUGACUGCAUAACACAUGUAACUGUCACCAACAGGCAAGGGACAGUGGCCUUGUCGAAUCAGUGUUGUCUUGGGUAGGAAAAAAUAAAAAAGAACAACAUAAUCAUCUUUCA